GAAAUGCGAUAAGUAGUGUGAAUUGCAGAAUUCAGUGAAUCAUCGAAUCUUUGAACGCACAUUGCGCCCUUUGGUAUUCCUUAGGGCAUGCCUGUUCGAGCGUCAUUUGUAACCUCAAGCUCAGCUUGGUGUUGGGUGUCUGUCCCCGCCCCGCGCGGGGACUCGCCUCAAAAACAUUGGCGGCCGGUACGUUGGCUUCGAGCGCAGCAGAAACGCGAACUCGAGGCCCGACGGAUCGGCGACCAGAAGUCACUUCUUCCACAGCUUGACCUCGGAUCAGGUAGUGAUACCCGCUGAACUUAAGC
rnacentral:misc_RNA from 1 species